rnacentral:sRNA from 1 species
AUAUAAGGUAGGACGCCUAAGGCAUCAACACAUCAUCCAUACACCACAAAACAUUCUCAAAAUUGUCCCAACACAUCUCGAAGUUGUUGGUCGUAAAGGGGGUGCGGCUCGGCGAGUAUAACUUGACCGAACUGAUGCGUAGCACCGGUCCAACGGUUCGAUGGAGUGUAGAGGAUGGAGAGGGUAGACCGUUCGUCUUAGAGACGAAUCGGAUCUUGUAGACCGUUCGUAGGAUCGGAUCGGCUAGACUGAUGGUCGGAAGGAUCAGAUCGCACAGACCAAUCGUCGGACAGAUCGGAUGGGCUAGGCCGAUCGUCAGACGAAACGGGUCGGACAGACCGAUCGUCGGAGGGGAUGGAUCGAGAAAAGUGUUUGAGGAAGCACAAGGAUAAGUGCAUCCGAACACACCCAAGGGUCGCCCAUGGAUGCAAUCUUACCGGUAAAGGGAGAAAGCACCAAGAAUGGGUAAGGAACAUGAUUCACCAUAUA